AGAGUUUGAUCAUGGCUCAGGACGAACGCUGGCGGCGUGCCUAACACAUGCAAGUCGAGCGGUUCUUAAGCUGUAGUUUACUAUAGCUUAAGAAUAGCGGCGAACGGGUGAGUAACACGUGGGCAACCUGUCCGAAAGAUCGGGAUAACAGUCCGAAAGGGCUGCUAAUACCGAAUACGCUUACCGGGUCGCAUGAUCCGGUAAGGAAAGGUCGGCAACUUCCGCUUUCGGGUGGGCCCGCGUCCCAUUAGCUAGUUGGUAGGGUAACGGCCUACCAAGGCAACGAUGGGUAGCUGGUCUGAGAGGAUGGUCAGCCACACUGGGACUGAGACACGGCCCAGACUCCUACGGGAGGCAGCAGUGGGGAAUCUUGCGCAAUGGGCGAAAGCCUGACGCAGCGACGCCGCGUGAGCGAGGAAGGCCUUCGGGUCGUAAAGCUCUGUCAGAGGGGACGAUAAUGACGGUACCCUCAGAGGAAGCCCCGGCUAACUACGUGCCAGCAGCCGCGGUAAGACGUAGGGGGCGAGCGUUGUCCGGAAUCACUGGGCGUAAAGGGCGUGUAGGCGGCUUUGCAAGUCAGUGGUGAAACACCUGGGCUCAACCGAGGUAUUGCCGUUGAAACUGCAUCGCUUGAGGGUAGAAGAGGAGUGUGGAAUUCCCGGUGUAGCGGUGAAAUGCGUAGAGAUCGGGAGGAACACCAGUGGCGAAGGCGGCACUCUGGUCUACCCCUGACGCUGAGGCGCGAAAGCUAGGGGAGCAAACAGGAUUAGAUACCCUGGUAGUCCUAGCCGUAAACGAUGGGCACUAGGUGUAGGAGGUUUAGAUACCUUCUGUGCCGUAGCUAACGCAUUAAGUGCCCCGCCUGGGAAGUACGGUCGCAAGGCUGAAACUCAAAUGAAUUGACGG
rnacentral:rRNA from 1 species